AACGUCUCAGUUCGGAUUGUAGUCUGCAACUCGACUACAUGAAGCUGGAAUCGCUAGUAAUCGCGGAUCAGAAUGCCGCGGUGAAUACGUUCCCGGGUCUUGUACACACCGCCCGUCACACCAUGGGAGUCGGAAACGCCCGAAGCCAGUGACCCAACUGAAAGGAGGGAGCUGUCGAAGGCAGGUCUGAUAACUGGGGUGAAGUCGUAACAAGGUACC
rnacentral:rRNA from 1 species